GGGUUUCCUUUAGGACCGAAAGGGGUCCCCGCACAUGACGACCAUACAACAGCUCAAACGGAGAGAAUCCUGUGGAUGUCUGCGGAACCUCCCGGUAAGCAAACAACAGGGGAAAGGCUUCUGGGAACCGGGUUGCGUAGUUACAAACCACCAGAAUAUAUUUAUGUGCAGUGCAGCUACGUUCGACAGGACCCACAAUGUCAACCACUAUCCUGGAAAAAGGCUCUUCCACUACAGGUAAAGACUGCGAACCCUUUGUGGCCUUGUCAAAGCAGACACGCAGACUGGGGUCAUCCCGCUGAGCAGAAGCCACAUCACUCGGUAAGUCGCUACCAUUUCCUGUGAGAUCCAAAGGCAAUAUAAGCUCACCCUGCUUCUGGGGAACGCCCCAGAGCUUCUCAUGCCUUCUCUGACUACGGGCUUUACGGACUGUGCCUGUCUUGUCAGCUUCCCCAAACGGCAGCGCAUCCCAGCCAUCCUGGGCAUUUUGUUUUUGCCUUGCCACUUGGGCCCUUGUGACCAUCAGAGUCUCCGCCUGCAGAGUACCCUGUAAGAGAUCUUCGAUCCCCGGCACGUCCAACCCUAGCAGAAUCGGGUAAGGCAUGUUGUCUAAUACGCCCAUGGGUAACUCAUAACCCAAACCUUGAAUCUCCAGGUUCACCCGGACCAGAGGAUAGGUGACUUCUUCACCAUGGACAGACCUCAAUACUACCUGCUGACCUGACUGUACCACUUGGUCGACCAAACAGUCUUUCCUCACCAGAGACUGGGUGCUUCCUGUGUCUAUUAAUGCAGGGUACAGUUUACCUGCCAUAGAAACCCUUAGAAUCUUCUCCCUGCUCUUAAAAGGCGUCUUCUUUUCAGGUAGGGGGCAUGGAACAAAACAAAGUUUUGUCUCCUUUCAUUUGUUUGGACAAAACUUAAUUAGAUGGCCUUUCUGUCCACAACCAUGACACAACCAACCUCCCCUAUAAUCUGGCUUUGCAGGUGUGUUGACUAAACUCAUAGGACCAUGACCCAUUUCAC